AAUAGAUACCCGGGUAGUCCACGCCCUAAACGAUGUCUACUAGUUGUCGGGUCUUCAUUGACUUGGUAACGCAGCUAACGCGUGAAGUAGACCGCCUGGGGAGUACGGUCGCAAGACUAAAACCCAAAGGAAUUGACGGGGACCCGCACAAGCAGCGGAGCGUGUGGUUUAAUUCGAUGCAACGCGAAGCACCUUACCAGGGCUUGACAUGCAGUCGCACCGUCCAGAGAUGGGCGUGCCCGCAAGGGACGGCUGCACAGGUGCUGCAUGGCUGUCGUCAGCUCGUGUCGUGAGAUGUUGGGUUAAGUCCCGCAACGAGCGCAACCCUUGUCAUUAGUUGCUACGAAAGGGCACUCUAAUGAGACUGCCGGUGACAAACCGGAGGAAGGUGGGGAUGACGUCAAGUCCUCAUGGCCCUUAUGGGUAGGGCUUCACACGUCAUACAAUGGUACAUACAGAGGGCUGCCAACCCGGCGAGGGGGAGCUAAAUCCCAGAAAGUGUAUCGUAGUCCGGAUUGGAAUCUGCAA
rnacentral:rRNA from 1 species